rnacentral:rRNA from 1 species
GAUGAACGCUAGCGGCAGGCCUAAUACAUGCAAGUCGAGGGGUAUGGGUUGCUUGCAACCCAGAGACCGGCGCACGGGUGCGUAACGCGUAUGCAAUCUACCUUAAUCAGGGGGAUAGCCCGGAGAAAUCCGGAUUAACACCGCAUAACAUUGAGUUGUGGCAUCACAGUUCAAUCAAAUAUUUAUAGGAUUAAGAUGAGCAUGCGUGACAUUAGUUAGUUGGUGAGGUAACGGCUCACCAAGACCACGAUGUCUAGGGGAUCUGAGAGGAUGACCCCCACACUGGUACUGAGACACGGACCAGACUCCUACGGGAGGCAGCAGUAAGGAAGAGUGGUCAAUGGGCGCAAGCCUGAACCAGCCAUGCCGCGUGCAGGAAGACGGCCCUAUGGGUUGUAAACUGCUUUUGUACCGGAAUAAACCUUCUCUUGCGAGAGAAGCUGAACGUACGGUAAGAAUAAGGAUCGGCUAACUCCGUG